CCCAGUAACGGCGAGUGAAGCGGCAACAGCUCAAAUUUGAAAUCUGGCUCUCGGGCCCGAGUUGUAAUUUGUAGAGGAUGCUUUUGGUGAGGUGCCUUCCGAGUUCCCUGGAACGGGACGCCAUAGAGGGUGAGAGCCCCGUCUGGUUGGACACCGAUCCUCUGUAAAGCUCCUUCGACGAGUCGAGUAGUUUGGGAAUGCUGCUCUAAAUGGGAGGUAUAUGUCUUCUAAAGCUAAAUACCGGCCAGAGACCGAUAGCGCACAAGUAGAGUGAUCGAAAGAUGAAAAGAACUUUGAAAAGAGAGUUAAAAAGUACGUGAAAUUGUUGAAAGGGAAGCGCUUGUGACCAGACUUGGGCUUGGUUGAUCAUCCGGGGUUCUCCCCGGUGCACUCUUCCGGCUCAGGCCAGCAUCAGUUCGCCCUGGGGGAUAAAGGCUUCGGGAAUGUGGCUCUCUCCGGGGAGUGUUAUAGCCCGCUGCGUAAUACCCUGUGGCGGACUGAGGUUCGCGCAUUCGCAAGGAUGCUGGCGUAAUGGUCAUCAGUGACCCGUCUUGAAACACGGACCAAGGAGUCGUCUUCGUAUGCGAGUGUUCGGGUGUCAAACCCCUACGCGAAAUGAAAGUGAACGCAGGUGAGAGCUUCGGCGCAUCAUCGACCGAUCCUGAUGUUAUCGGAUGGAUUUGAGUAAGAGCAUACGGGGCCGGACCCGAAAGAAGGUGAACUAUGCCUGUGUAGGGUGAAGCCAGAGGAAACUCUGGUGGAGGCUCGCAGCGGUUCUGACGUGCAAAUCGAUCGUCAAACAUGGGCAUGGGGGCGAAAGACUAAUCGAACCUUCUAGUAGCUGGUUUCCGCCGAAGUUUCCCUCAGGAUAGCAGUGUUGAACUCAGUUUUAUGAGGUAAAGCGAAUGAUUAGGGACUCGGGGGCGCUAUUUAGCCUUCAUCCAUUCUCAAACUUUAAAUAUGUAAGAAGCCCUUGUUGCUUAA
rnacentral:rRNA from 1 species